CCUGCAGAGCCUCGCAGGUGCCCUUUCUCCACCGUCGCUUCAACCUCCACUCUAACAUUUUACCUCUCCUAGCUACCACCAUCUCCCUCUCCGCCUUCCAAUCCUCCGCCCACUUCUUCUAUCCUUCUCCACUCCCGCCACCCCUCCACCCAUCACCUCGCCAAUCGUAAGACCUACGCGUCCAAUUUUUUUCUCUCUGUCUCCACACUUACUUCUGCUGCUCCACCAUUGCGGUUGCAGUCACCUUUAUUCCUCUCAUCCUUACUUUUUGGGUUCUUUCCUUCAGCACUUUUGCUUUCCCCAAAUUUUAGAAAUACUUAGGACUUGUAAAAGGUGCCACCUCAAAAUCCAUCUGCCAGUGGAAGAUACUGUCUUGCGUGAAAUUGUGAACACUACUCCGAAAUUGUGAACAUCUUGCGUGAAAUUUAUCCUUUCGCAAAACUUCCAGAGAAGUUAUGCAAAUAGCCCAGGUUUCUUCGCUCUGUAUAGUGGAGUUAGAUAUCAUCUUAAUGAAUGCUCUGCUAAUGGGAACAAGCCUCAAAAUUUUAAAGAGUUAUUCAACCUUCAACAUUCAAUUGCUGGAAAUGUGAUUGAAAGGACAUUUGGUUUGUUCAAGAAAUGAUGGGCCAUUUUGAGAGAUGCAUCUUUUUUUGAUGUCAAGACUCAUGUCAUGAUAAUUAAUGCAUGUGCUAUCCUUCAUAAUCUUAUUUGAGUAGAACAACCAAAUGAUCCUUGGAUGAAGUUGAUGCUGAGAUGCGAAGAGUACAACAUGAGGUUGAUGAUGAA